UGCGCAGGCGGCUCCUUAAGUCAGAUGUGAAAGCCCCGGGCUUAACCUGGGAACUGCGUUUGAAACUGGGGAGCUAGAGUGUAGAAGAGGGGGGUGGAAUUCCAGGUGUAGCAGUGAAAUGCGUAGAGAUCUGGAGGAACACCGAUGGCGAAGGCAGCCCCCUGGGCUAACACUGACGCUCAUGCACGAAAGCGUGGGAGCGAACA
rnacentral:rRNA from 1 species